UCUUUUUUUCAUUAUUUAAUCGGUUGCCGUGGUGUUGAAGCUAAAGUAAACAUUAUUGUUAGAGAUGUAAAAAUGGUCUAAAUUCCGUGAGUAUUUAUUUAAAGAAAACAUAUGUUGGCAAUCUGCAAGAUUAAGUGCUUUUAAUUAUUAGUCCCUAUUAUAAAGUUCAAACAUAUGUGAGGCCAACAAAAGGAAUCAACUCCUAAAAAAAACGUGAAAAUGAGAAAAAAGUGUUUCUAUUUCUAAUUAUUUUUGUUUCAUAAGAAAAGACAUAAAACAUAAAAGACAUGUAACAUAAAAUUUCACCACUUUUAGACAGAAGUUCUAAAAACUGCCAGAAAAACCUAUAUUGCUUAGAAUCCCUCGUUUAAUUUGAAUCCAUUUUUUAAAAGUAUAAUGCUUCAAAAAAGCCGCAAUGACCUCUAAAAGAUAGCAAGGCAUUAAAUCAGAUUAUAAUGAUGCAUUAAAAUUUAUGUUGGUAAGAUUACGUUCUUAACCGGCUGAUGUGAAGAUAUUCUUCUAUUAUUUUCAAUUACCGCAGGGAAUUGUGACUGUUUUUAGUGAACUGAAUCAGUUAAUGAUGGUGGAGAUUAUACUACCAUGGGCCAAGGACUCCUGUAAUCAGGACCGGUCACGCGCAAACAUGAAUUCAAAUACGCGUUCAACAUGGGUUCAUUUGAAAAAAAAACAACAAUGCAACGUGUUUCGUAAGAUAAUAACUUAAUGUUGUGCUACAGGGUGUAGAACGGGCUAUGCCAACGAGCCGUGUUACGAUCCAUCCGUGGCCAAACAAAGAGAGAAACCCCGGACUUGAUACCGCCUUGCUGAGAUCCAUUCCAAGAGAAACAGAUCUGAAGAAGACAGAUUAGGCACCAUCCAAAAGUACAAAGCUGUUUUCCCUGCAUUUCAACGAAUCUGAUUUCAUCUGUGAGUCUAAAAGAAGAGUAAGACCCUUGGCAAGGCUCUAAAGAAGAGGUACCUCAAAGUAGAUGUAGUACCAUCCCUAUGGCCAAACUGUCCCAACUACCUCUCAACUCCUAAAGCUUCAUCAAAGCCAACUCAAGCUGCGACCACGUUACGUAGGGGUCAACAGUUCAAUCAAAUGAGUUCUGUAGAAGAACUUGUUGAAAAAAUUGGCCAAGGAGACACUCCCAUCAGACUUUAUUCUCAUCACAAAACCAAGUGUUGCCCUUUUGAAGGUAUCCCAUGAUGAGAAAUUAGACCCCCAAGUAGUAGCUAGCAUCAAGUUUGAGACAGAUAUGUCAUUCAAAAUGUACCACUCUAGUGUGUUGAUUGACAAAAAGGGAGUGUCACACAUCACCUCAGAAGGCAAGGUCAACACUGUGAUUCAAGCCAUCAAUUUGGCUUCCUUUCUGGGAGUAGAAGAAGAAUUGAAUCAAACAGAGACCUGGGAAGACAUUUUCAACAAGAUAGAUAAGUUUCUCAACUCCUCAGAGAUGGAACUUAAGCAACCUUCUAAGCUCUCUUUCAUUCGUGAGCAAAUGGUUCUCCUCUUCACCAAACCAACAGCUAGAUAAUAUUCACCUUGUCUUAUUUCAACCGCAGUCAUGCGGGAGAAUGUGAGCACAGGACUAUGUGGAAUAUCCUAAACGUCAAGACACCUGGAGUUGGCUACGAAAAGAGAGAUGAGCUUCGUGAACCAAUCUCUGAGAAGAACAAACUUGGUCUCUCUUUCUUGAGGGAUUUUGUCGACUUUCUCAUCGAGUGGCAAAACAUUAAUGCACCUAGCCUCAGAAAUCUUCCUAGCAACAAAGCAGACGUUCUUGGAUUGUAGAAAUAAAACACAUAAAAUAUUAUAUUAUGGUCGAAAAUUUAGUAUGAACCGAAAAAACAAUCCUUUGCAAUUAUUUCUAGAAAAUAAUCCCCUUCAUAUGUUGGCCGCAACUGGACUUUAAAUGGUCUAUUCUUUUGCGCCAAUUUUCGAUGACGCGUUCGAGCAUUGUGACCAGAAUCUCGCGAAUAACUCGCUCAAUAUUUGCUUUCAAUACUUCAAUCGUCGCUGGUUUAUCCACAUAGACUUUUGCUUUUACGUAGCCCCAAAGAAAAAAGUCCAAAGGUGUGAUAUCAAACGAUCUUAGUGGCCAAUUCACCGGGCCAAAAACGGGAAAUUAAUUGCUCACCAAAAUGGUGUCCCAAUAAGUCCAUUGUUACGCGCGCUGUGUGGCAAGACUUGUCUUGUUCGAACCAAAUAUCGUGGAGACCAUGUGCUUCAAUUUGAGGUACCAAAAAGUGUGUUACCAUGGCGCGAUAACGUUCGCCGUUGACCGUAACGUAUUGGCCGGCAGCGUUUUGGAAAAAAUAUGAACCGAUGAUUCCACCAGCCCACAAAGCACACCAAACUGUUGUUUUCAAUGGAUGCUCUUGAUACAAUUCAGGUUGCUCUUCACCCCAAAUACGGCAAUUUUGCUUAUUUACGUAGCCAUUGAGCCAGAAAUGGGCCUCAUUACUGAUCAAAAUUUGGCGCGAAAAAACAGAUUUACUUGGAUACGUUCAGAAGCCCAUUCACUGAACACACGACGCAAACGAAGGUCCAGCGGCUUCAAUUAUUGCACGAGCUGUAUUUUGUAUUCCUUUAAACCCAAAUCUUUCUUCAAAAUGCGCCAGGUUGUUACAUACGACAAGCCAAGUUGUUGGGAGCGGGGUUGAAUCGAUUCUUCACAAUCUUCGGCUACACUCUCGGCUACGGCCGCAAUAUUUUCUACGGUGCGAGCUGUACGGGGCCUACCAGACGACGGGACAUCCCAGCAAGUUGCUGGCCCUUCCAAUUUUUCU
rnacentral:lncRNA from 1 species